rnacentral:rRNA from 1 species
UGGGGAAUUUUGCACAAUGGGGGAAACCCUGAUGCAGCGACGCCGCGUGAUUUAGAAGGCCUUCGGGUUGUAAAAAUCUUUUUUACGGGAUGAAAAUGACAGUACCGUAAGAAUAAGGUCCGGCUAAAUACGUGCCAGCAGCCGCGGUAAUACGUAUGGACCGAGCGUUGUCCGGAAUCAUUGGGCGUAAAGGGUACGUAGGCGGCCUAGUAAGUUAGAAGUGAAAUAAUAUAGCUCAACUAUAUAAAGCUUUUAAAACUGCUAGGCUUGAGAGAUGGAAGGGAAAGUGGAAUUCCUAGUGUAGCGGUGAAAUGCGCAUAUAUUAGGAGGAAUACCGGUGGCGAAGGCGGCUUUCUGGUCAUCAUCUGACGCUGAGGUACGAAAGCGUGGGUAGCAAACAGG